AUCGAUAGAAGACUAUACGGUAUAUGCAGAACUAACUUCUCACUUAGAAGAGCUAAGCGUAGAGGUGAAGCUUGAGGAUGCAGAAUUGCGUGCACUACUUGACACUCAUUUUGCUGAGAUGGAAAACGUGGCGACUGUACACAUGGCACUGGCUAACGCUAGGUUGAUGUCCCUGAAGGAGGAGAUGAAGAAGAUGGUUGAAGAAGACGAGGCGACAACGGAGGAUCUGGUCGAAUUCAUGGAACUGAAUUGCCACCAACUCUUUCCUUCCCUACCCAGCCUACCCCCAUGCCCCUUCUGAUCAAAGCUGGUGAAUGUUUUUUUUUGUGCAACUCGGUGAACUGCUUACCAUACUCUACAACAUAUUAUGUAUUUCUACUUCAUGAUAUUUACUGUGAUGUCGGAGGACUCUCUGGUUCAACAUCAUCUUUUGUCAAGUACAUGGUAGCUAGCUACUUAGCUGGAGCCAGUGUCACCAAGUCAUCCUGUGUCUAAGAUGUUGUAUAAGCAGUAAUGGUGUUUCAAACUAUCAGAAAUAUGCACUACUUCUUAUUUCUUUUAGGAACACUCUUGUUGGACAGGAAUUUGGUGAAUAUGGUUCAACGCACACCCGUUAUGAAUAGUAAAUUAAAAAAUAAAAAAAGUCAACAGAUACACUCCCUAUGAAUAGUAAAUUCGAAAAAAAUGUUAUACUUGCACAUGAAGUUUCACCAAGAAACGACUUCCAUGGUAUCCUGGGCAAAAAUGACAAGAUCGAACCUAUAAUAAAAGACAAUGUUGUAUGAAUAGUAUGAUCCCGG
rnacentral:lncRNA from 1 species